UACGAGGGGGGCAAGCGUUGUUCGGAAUCAUUGGGCGUAAAGGGUGUGUAGGCGGCUGUGUUAGUCUUGUGUUAAAUCUUUCGGCUCAACCGAGAGUCUGCACGGGAAACGGCACAGCUUAGAGGAUGGAAGGGGUCUGCGGAACUCAUGGUGUAGCGGUGAAAUGCGUUGAUAUCAUGGGGAACACCGAAAGCGAAGGCAGC
rnacentral:rRNA from 1 species